CUACGGGGCGCACCAGUGAGGAAUAUUGCACAAUGGAGGAAACUCUGAUGCAGCAACGCCGCGUGGAGGAUGACGCAUUUCGGUGUGUAAACUCCUUUUAUAUGUCAAGAAAAUGACGGUAGCAUAUGAAUAAGCUCCGGCUAACUCCGUGCCAGCAGCCGCGGUAAUACGGAGGGAGCAAGCGUUACUCGGAAUCACUGGGCGUAAAGGACGCGUAGGCGGGAUAGAAAGUCAGGUGUGAAAUCCUACAGCUUAACUGUAGAACUGCACUUGAAACUGGUAACCUAGAGUAUGGGAGGGGGAGAUGGAAUUAGUGGUGUAGGGGUAAAAUCCGUAGAUAUCACUAGGAAUACCUAAAGCGAAGGCGAUCUCCUGGAACAUAACUGACGCUAAGGCGUGAAAGCGUGGGGAGCAAACAGGAUUAGAUACCCCAGUAGUC
rnacentral:rRNA from 1 species